rnacentral:rRNA from 1 species
UACGGGGGGAGCAAGCGUUGUUCGGAUUUACUGGGCGGAAAGGGCGCGUAGGCGGUCAGCACAAGUCAGUUGUGAAAUCUCCGGGCUUAACCCGGAAAGGUCAACUGAUACUGUGCGACUAGAGUGCGGAAGGGGCAACUGGAAUUCUCGGUGUAGCGGUGAAAUGCGUAGAUAUCGAGAGGAACACCUGCGGCGAAGGCGGGUUGCUGGGCCGACACUGACGCUGAUGCGCGAAAGCCAGGGGAGCGAACGGG